AUUGAACGCUGGCGGCAUGCUUUACACAUGCAAGUCGAACGGUAACAGGGUGCUUGCACCGCUGACGAGUGGCGAACGGGUGAGUAAUGCGUCGGAACGUGCCGAGUAGUGGGGGAUAACGCAGCGAAAGUUGUGCUAAUACCGCAUACGUACUGAGGUAGAAAGUGGGGAACCUUCGGGCCUCACGCUAUUCGAGCGGCCGACGUCUGAUUAGCUAGUAGGUGAGUUAAAGGCUAACCUAGGCGACGAUCAGUAGCGGGUCUGAGAGGAUGAUCCGCCACACUGGGACUGAGACACGGCCCAGACUCCUACGGGAGGCAGCAGUGGGGAAUUUUGGACAAUGGGCGAAAGCCUGAUCCAGCCAUGCCGCGUGUCUGAAGAAGGCCUUCGGGUUGUAAAGGACUUUUGUCAGGGAGGAAAUCCCUAGUGCUAAUACCGCUGGGGGAUGACAGUACCUGAAGAAUAAGCACCGGCUAACUACGUGCCAGCCGCCGCAGUAAGAC
rnacentral:rRNA from 1 species